ensembl:misc_RNA Metazoa_SRP Metazoan signal recognition particle RNA
GCUGGGCGUGGUGGCGCAUGCCUGUAGUCCCAGCUACUUGGGAGGCUGAGGUGGGAGAAUCGCUGGAACCCGGGAGGCCGAGGUUGCAGUGAGCCAAGGUCACACCACUGCACUCUAGCCUGGACAACAGAGCAAUACUCCGUCUCAA